rnacentral:lncRNA from 1 species
UUUUUGUUCGUUUUCACUUUCUAUUGGGCAAAGAACAUGAGCAGAGGACCUGUGGCUGAGAUCUGCCUGGGAGCCUGAUAGCAGGUGUGCUGGCUCCAACCACUUGCAGGAGCAAGUCUAGUCUCCCCUCCUAACAAAAGACGGGCUCUUUUAUACUGACGCUCUGCUCAGUCUUUAGAACACUCAGUUUUCCAGCAAGUGUCUGAUGUGAGAGCAGCCAAAGCAGGAGUGAAAUGAACAGGAGUGUUUCAAAUCCACACUCUAUGGGAAGACCCAUCCCUGUGCUCACAGUGGAGUAAUGGAGGGUGGGCUUUCCUGGGAUGAGAGGGAUGUGAUCAGAAAGAGAAGGAGGAAAAAGAAUGGAAUAUGAAAUUAGAAAUAGUAUUUCUGGACCGUGAAAACCAGUAGUCCACCCUUUCUAGGAUUCUGUUCCCUGGGGGGCUGAGGGUGCAGAAUAUUAACUCCCAAUCUCAGCCCACUGUCUUGGUGGCUACCCUUCAUCUAGUUCUGAGGCGGUCUCAUGUGGGCAGGAGACAGGAGGUCUGCUGCUCCUUUAUCCAGGUGGAAGGAAAGACAUCUUCCGUGCAAGUGCGUGUGCCAGAAGAUGGAGAAGUGGUGGAUGUUCCACGAAACAGCUUUUGUGCAGUCUCUGAGAACUUGGCUACAGAAACAUCGCCAGGAAGAAGCAGAACACGGGAGCAGAGAGGGAAAGGUGAGGAAAUGAAGAGAGAAGGAAGGGGCUGCGCAAGGGCAACCCCAAACUCGCCAAGGGGGAUUCUGGAGUCACCCUAAAUUUCCGAUCUUUUACUGUGCAGAGUCCUCCUCACGUGCGUCACUUGCGGCACAGGCGAGCCUCUUCUGGUUCUUCAGAUGAGAAAACCAGGAUAUAAAUUAAGAAUAACAUACCUGUGAUGAUGCAGCUGUGAAGGCCGAGCUGGAUCUGAGGCUGCUGACUUUGCUCUCCCUUUCCUCCUGCCAUUCCAUACGCCAGGAAAGGUGAAGCCGUUGGCUGAGCAUAGGAGAAUUCAGGUCCUCUUCCAAAAGGCUAUGCUUUUCACAAAUUAAAACAAAAGUUAAGACUUAAGCACUUGGUUAUCAUGAUUCAUUUUUGUGUGUGUAGUAGCAAACUGUUUUUGACAGUACUG